rnacentral:rRNA from 1 species
UACGUAGGGGGCAAGCGUUGUCCGGAAUCAUUGGGCGUAAAGAGCGUGUAGGCGGCUCGGUAAGUCCGCUGUGAAAGUCCAGGGCUCAACCCUGGAAUGCCGGUGGAAACUGUCGAGCUAGAGUCCGGAAGAGGCGAGUGGAAUUCCUGGUGUAGCGGUGAAAUGCGCAGAUAUCGGGAGGAACACCAAUGGCGAAGGCAGCUCGCUGGGACGGUACUGACGCUGAGACGCGAAAGCGUGGGGAGCAAACAGG